UACAGAGGUCCCAAGCGUUGUUCGGAUUCACUGGGCGUAAAGGGUGCGCAGGUGGGUUUGCAAGUUCGAUGUGAAAGCCCCGGGCUUAACCCGGGAACUGCGUCCGAGACUGGCAGGCUCGAAUCCGGGAGAGGGAUGUGGAAUUCCAGGUGUAGCGGUGAAAUGCGUAGAUAUCUGGAGGAACAUCGGUGGCGAAGGCGGCAUCCUGGACCGGUAUUGACGCUGAGGCGCGAAAGCCAGGGGAGCAAACGGG
rnacentral:rRNA from 1 species